GGUUUACUAUAGAACCCUAUGGGAUUUUAUUUUCAGAAAUUUUCAAAUGAAUAUAACUUAAAAACUGUAAGGGAUAGAUACAUGCAGUCUUCAGAAAUGAUUAAAGGACCAUAAAACAAAUCACAUGUAAUAUAGGGGGAGUCCAUGGGGGGUCAUCCCCACCCCCUUCAAUUUGAGAAUAUGCUUUUAUCUUGUAAACGGUCCAGAUCCCCACCCCUAAACCAUAUAUAUUCUUGAAUGGGACCAUAAAACAAAUCAAAUGAAAUUAAAGGGAGGUUCCUGGGGGUCAGCCCCACCCCAUUCAAUUUGAGAAUGUGCUAUUAUCUUGUAAACGGUGCAGAUCCCCACCCCUAAACCAUAUAUAUUCUUGUAAGGGACAAUAAAACAAAAGAAAUAAAAUAAAAGGGAAGUCCCUAGGGGUUCACCCCAACCCCUCUUGUUUGAAAACUUGUAAACGGUCAACAUUCCCACCCCUAAACCAUAUAUUUUCUUGUAUGGGACACUAAAACAAAUCACAUGAAAUUAAAUUUAAGUUCCUGGGGGUCACCCCCCAACCCGAUCAAUUUGAGAAUGUACUAUUAUCUUGUGAACGGUCCAGAUCCCCACCCCUAAACCAUAUAUAUUCUUGUAGGGGACAAUAAAACAAAUGAAAUAAAAUAAAAGGGAAGUCCCUAGGGGGUCGCCCCACCCCCUCUUGUUUGAAAACUAGUAAACGGUCAACAUCCCCACCCCUAAACCGUAUAUAUUCUUGUAUGGGACAAUAAAACAAAUCACAUGAAAUUAAAUGUAAGUUCCUGGGGGUCACCCCCAACCCGUUCAAUUUGAGAAUGUACUAUUAUCUUGUAAACAGUCCAGAUCCCCACCCAUAAACCAUAUAUAUUCUUGUAGGAGACAAUUAAACAAAUGAAAUGAAAUAAAAGGGAAGUCCCUAGGGGGUCACCCCACCCCCUCUUGUUUGAAAACUUGUAAACCAUCAACAUCCCCACCCCUAAACCAUAUAUAUUCUUGUAUGGGACAAUAAAGCUAAUCAAAUGAAAUUUAAGGGAAGUGCCUGGGGCCGUCCCUACCUUGUUCAAUUUGCGAAUGUGCUAUUAUCUUGUAUGGGACAAAAAUUCAAAUCAAAUGAACAUGGGACCAUAUGAAUGGAGAGUUAUUGGAGCUUUGUUUGGGAGACUUCGUAACAGCAUCCUGUUACAAUUACUUCUUGUUUUAUUUUAACUUAUUGA
rnacentral:lncRNA from 1 species